UGCGGUUUUCCCUCAAUAAAAAUUCGUGCAGGAACGUAAAAAAAUAAAAAAUCCUACCCAUUCGCCAUCUAGCGGUCGAUUAUCAACUAUGUUCCCCCAAUUUAUUUUUGUUUAACGUUGCUGCGCAGCCCAUGACACAGCGACACAGCUAAACCGAUUGUAUUGUAAUAAUCCUGUUGAUUUACAUCUCAGUAUUUGUUUUUUCUGAAACUAGUCGUCACGUAAGUGAGCACGGCAUGGCACAAAAUGGAUUCGUUCGUCAAAAGCAUCAGGUAAGAUGCUUAUUAAAUCAUUACGUUUCAAGCUGACAUCCCAUUCCUACUUUGUAUAUCAUCGUCUUCACACAAACAAAUGGUCACUGUUUACAAUCCGUAUGAUUUUGUGGUGAGUUUCAAAGGUGUGGUAAAAAUAAAAUGUUUUUAUUGUUUCCUGGCAUAUGGAGAUAACAUUGUACAAGUUUUUUAUUUUUAUAGUGCUAUGCAAUGCACCACACAAGUACCGGAUUGUUGAUCCUGAAGGAUCCAUUAAACCUAAUUGUUGUGUAGAUAUAGUUACACGUCAUAUUUCUAUAUUGCCAACCUGCUACCAUGUUAAAGACAAGUUCAGGAUUCAAAUGAAUUAUCACAUUAGCAGGCAAUUGUUAGGGAAAAAGGAUCUAUCAGUUACUUUAUUACCAGGAAAAUCCUCAGGAAUCUCAGAAUCUACUGCUACUAGUCAGGAUACAUACAAGCAAUUCUCCACAGAGCUGACUGCAACCUCUUCUGGUGAUUCAAGUGCACCAAUCAUGCAAAUCCAGGCUUAUUCUGAAAACCUUGCAAAACUAGGUUUUCCUUUGCUUUUACUUUUCUUCAGCUGUCACUAAAACAUUGCAUUUCUAUAGGUUAUCAAACUGCUGGGCAAAACUAUAUUGCUAUUGUGGUAGCAAUUAUUUGUAUUAUAGCUCUAAUGUUGCCUUCUGAUGAGUCUGAAAGCAGCCCAUCAUCAUCUCUGUGAUCCUUGUUCCAUUUGUCUUCUCAGCAGAAAUUGGUAUUUGCCUAUUCUCUUGGUCUGGUUACAAUGGUCAUAUUUCGAGUAUAAGCCUUUCUCCUAUAGGAAAUUACGGGAAAUGCAAAGAAUUGGCAACUUUGUAUUCGCCUACAAAAUGCGAGAAUAUCGUUGAGAUUUCUUAAUGUCGGAUUUAUAAAAAAAAAGAACAUUUAGAUAAUUUAUAAAGUAAUCUGAACACGGCUGUUCUCUUGAUUGACACAUGCAAAUGAACACGAAACUCGCAUUUGUUAAAAUGGAAUGUCAUGUCCGCGAUUGCAGACAAAACUCUAACCACCCUGUAAUAUUCCCAAUGAAUUGCAAUAAAAAACAAUUAUUAUUUUACACAAA